rnacentral:rRNA from 1 species
CUUGCUUCUCUGAUGUUAGCGGCGGACGGGUGAGUAACACGUGGGUAACCUACCUAUAAGACUGGGAUAACUCCGGGAAACCGGGGCUAAUACCGGAUAAUAUUUUGAACCGCAUGGUUCAAUAGUGAAAGACGGUUUCGGCUGUCACUUAUAGAUGGACCCGCGCCGUAUUAGCUAGUUGGUAAGGUAAUGGCUUACCAAGGCGACGAUACGUAGCCGACCUGAGAGGGUGAUCGGCCACACUGGAACUGAGACACGGUCCAGACUCCUACGGGAGGCAGCAGUAGGGAAUCUUCCGCAAUGGGCGAAAGCCUGACGGAGCAACGCCGCGUGAGUGAUGAAGGUCUUCGGAUCGUAAAACUCUGUUGUUAGGGAAGAACAAAUUUGUUAGUAACUGAACAAGUCUUGACGGUACCUAACCAGAAAGCCACGGCUAACUACGUGCCAGCAGCCGCGGUAAUACGUAGGUGGCAAGCGUUAUCCGGAAUUAUUGGGCGUAAAGCGCGCGUAGGCGGUUUCUUAAGUCUGAUGUGAAAGCCCACGGCUCAACCGUGGAGGGUCAUUGGAAACUGGGAAACUUGAGUGCAGAAGAGGAGAGUGGAAUUCCAUGUGUAGCGGUGAAAUGCGCAGAGAUAUGGAGGAACACCAGUGGCGAAGGCGGCUCUCUGGUCUGUAACUGACGCUGAUGUGCGAAAGCGUGGGGAUCAAACAGGAUUAGAUACCCUGGUAGUCCACGCCGUAAACGAUGAGUGCUAAGUGUUAGGGGGUUUCCGCCCCUUAGUGCUGCAGCUAACGCAUUAAGCACUCCGCCUGGGGAGUACGACCGCAAGGUUGAAACUCAAAGGAAUUGACGGGGACCCGCACAAGCGGUGGAGCAUGUGGUUUAAUUCGAAGCAACGCGAAGAACCUUACCAAAUCUUGACAUCCUUUGACCGCUCUAGAGAUAGAGUCUUCCCCUUCGGGGGACAAAGUGACAGGUGGUGCAUGGUUGUCGUCAGCUCGUGUCGUGAGAUGUUGGGUUAAGUCCCGCAACGAGCGCAACCCUUAAGCUUAGUUGCCAUCAUUAAGUUGGGCACUCUAGGUUGACUGCCGGUGACAAACCGGAGGAAGGUGGGGAUGACGUCAAAUCAUCAUGCCCCUUAUGAUUUGGGCUACACACGUGCUACAAUGGAUAAUACAAAGGGCAGCGAAUCCGCGAGGCCAAGCAAAUCCCAUAAAAUUAUUCUCAGUUCGGAUUGUAGUCUGCAACUCGACUACAUGAAGCUGGAAUCGCUAGUAAUCGUAGAUCAGCAUGCUACGGUGAAUACGUUCCCGGGUCUUGUACACACCGCCCGUCACACCACGAGAGUUUGUAACACCCGAAGCCGGUGGAGUAAC